GGGAGCUUGCUCCCUGAUGUUAGCGGCGGACGGGUGAGUAACACGUGGGUAACCUGCCUGUAAGACUGGGAUAACUCCGGGAAACCGGGGCUAAUACCGGAUGGUUGUUUGAACCGCAUGGUUCAGACAUAAAAGGUGGCUUCGGCUACCACUUACAGAUGGACCCGCGGCGCAUUAGCUAGUUGGUGAGGUAACGGCUCACCAAGGCAACGAUGCGUAGCCGACCUGAGAGGGUGAUCGGCCACACUGGGACUGAGACACGGCCCAGACUCCUACGGGAGGCAGCAGUAGGGAAUCUUCCGCAAUGGACGAAAGUCUGACGGAGCAACGCCGCGUGAGUGAUGAAGGUUUUCGGAUCGUAAAGCUCUGUUGUUAGGGAAGAACAAGUGCCGUUCAAAUAGGGCGGCACCUUGACGGUACCUAACCAGAAAGCCACGGCUAACUACGUGCCAGCAGCCGCGGUAAUACGUAGGUGGCAAGCGUUGUCCGGAAUUAUUGGGCGUAAAGGGCUCGCAGGCGGUUUCUUAAGUCUGAUGUGAAAGCCCCCGGCUCAACCGGGGAGGGUCAUUGGAAACUGGGGAACUUGAGUGCAGAAGAGGAGAGUGGAAUUCCACGUGUAGCGGUGAAAUGCGUAGAGAUGUGGAGGAACACCAGUGGCGA
rnacentral:rRNA from 1 species